rnacentral:pre_miRNA from 1 species
CUAUUGGGUGAUCUUAGAAUGUGAGUUUGGAUCUAAUUCAACAUCAAAUGUUAGCUCAUAGGGUGAGGGUUAUCCUCCACUUAUAUACUCUAUCUUGGCAUUAUCUCUAGCCAAUGUGGAACUUAGACUUUUGAAUGGAUCUAAGAUAGGUUCUGAUAUCAUCUUAGA